UUUCCGUAGUGAACUGCGGAAGGAUCAUUAAUAAAUGGCUCCUGAUUUGGAGCGCUUAAUAAUCCUACCCUUUGUGAAUUUGUUGCUUGAAAUAAUUUUUUUAAAAUUAUUGAUUGUCUUUCCCUGUUGAAUUGGAGCGUUUCGGACGUAAAGAUUCGCAGGGAUAGUCAGUAAUUUUUAAAAGACUUUUUUUAAAUUAAACUUUGUGUGCAUUCAUUUGUCUAUAAUUAUUUUAUAAUAUAAAACAACUUUUGACAAUGGAUCUCUUGGUUCUCGCAACGAUGAAGAACGCAGCAAAAUGCGAUAAGUAGUGUGAAUUGCAGAAUACGUGAAUCAUCGAAUCUUCGAACGCAUAUUGCACUUUUUAGUUUACUAAAAAGUAUGUCUGUUUGAGUAUCAGUAAAUAUUCUCAUAAAACUUUUUGUUUUUAUGGUUAUGAGUGUUUUACAACGAUACAAGUUGUUUCACUUUAAAUUUUUAAAAUUUGAAUUUUUUUCUAAUUUUAAAUAAAUUGGAUAAAGUUUCCCGUAAAAAGGAAUAACCUAAACAAUUUACUUAUUUUAGAAGAAAUUUCAACCAAAGGAAAAUUUAACAAAAUAACUUGAUCUCAAAUCAGAUAAGAGUACCCGCUGAACUUAAGCAUAUCAUAAGCGGAGGAAAGAAACUGACAAGGAUUCCUUAGUAACGGCGAGUGAAGCGGGAAGAGCUCAAAUUUGAAAUCUUCAAGGUUUUACCUUGACGAAUUGUAGUUUAAAGAAGUGUUUCUGUUGAAGUUUGGUAAAAGUUCUUGGAAUAGGACAUCAUAGAGGGUGAGAAUCCCGUAUUUGACCAUUAUUUUCAGCUGUGUGAUACACUUUCAAGAGUCGGAUUGUUUGGAAUGCAGUCCAAAUGGGUGGUAAAUUUCAUCUAAGCUAAAUAUUGGCGAGAGACCGAUAACGAACAAGUACCGUGAGGAAAGAUGAAAAGAACUUUGAAAAGAGAGUUAAACAGUACGUGAAAUUGUCAAAAGGGAAGCGUUUGACACCAGUGUUGUUUUCUCGAAAAUCAAUUAAAAAGUUGGGUUUGUGUUGUAUUGACCAUAACAGCUUUCUCACUUUUUCCUGCUUUUUUAAUGCACUUUCGUUUAACAAGUCAACAUCAGUUUCUUUUGUUGUAAAAGGGUCAUUGGAAGGUGGCUUUCUUUUCGGAGAAAGUGUUUAUAGCCUUUGAUCUCUGCAAUCGGAGAGACUGAGGUCUGCAGCGUAGACUCUUCGGGUUAGAUACAUUUGUGCUAAGUUAUAACUUUUCAUAGACAACUUGUUGACUAUGUUUAGUCAUGUAGCUUGCUCGCUUAUGCUAU
rnacentral:misc_RNA from 1 species